rnacentral:rRNA from 1 species
UACGAAGGGUGCUAGCGUUGCUCGGAAUGACUGGGCGUAAAGGGCUCGUAGGCGGCGGUCACCGUCAGAUGUGAAAUUCCUGGGCUUAACCUGGGGGCUGCAUUUGAUACGUGGUUGCUUGAGUGGGGAAGAGGGUCGUGGAAUUCCCAGUGUAGCAGUGAAAUGCGUAGAUAUCGGGAGGAAUACCGAUGGCGAAGGCAGGUCUCUGGGCUGACACUGACGCUCAUGCACGAAAGCGUGGGGAGCAAACAGG